GGGGGUGUAGCUCAGCAGCAGAGCACAUGCUUUGCAUGUAUGAGGCCCCAGGUUCAAUCCCUGGCAUCUCCA
rnacentral:tRNA from 2 species